rnacentral:lncRNA from 1 species
UUUAACUCAAUGUGUAUAUAAACCUGAAAUAUUAAUCAAGGUCAUACCAAAUAGAAAAUAUAAAAUAGAAAUUUAAGGCUCGAAUACAAAACUUAUAUUUAUGGGAAAUAACUGAAUUAAAACACCUUGAAAUGAAGAAGGGCACCUUAAAAGUCAGUAAUAAGAUACAACAAGAAUUUAUAUUUAUUGUAUUUGUGUAUGGUUUGUUAGGUAAAAAAGAUAAUUACAAC